GGGAGGAGCCAGCAAGAGGGCCGGGCUGGAGCAGCGGGGCACUGGAGCCCGGAGCCUGGGGUCUGCAGCCCGGGGUAGCAGGGGUCUCAGCGCACAGGCAAGGCCUGGCAGCUGCCUGAGGCCGUGUGGGGACAGGGCGGUGGGUGUGGGGUGCAGGGAGUGAGGCUGGGUCUCUCCUGCAGGUAGCGGUGACCCCUGGGUGGGGUCAGGGGCAGCCCAGGGCAGUGAUGCAGGGGAGUCCUGGGGAGCACAGACCCCACAAGCACUGCUCGGACCUGCACCCUCGACUGGAGGCAGGGUGAGCAUCAGCUCUGAGCACCAGGGAUGUGAAGGCAGCUGAGGCGCAGUCCUCUCGGUCGAACCAGGGUCGGGGAGGAACAGCCAAAGGCGUCUGGGCCGGGAAGGUCGCCAGCAGGAACCGUUGCGCCAGAUGAACAGUGCUGUCUUUCUACAUGGCUAGGCUUCUCCGUGACAGGACCCUUUAUUUCAGCUUUGGCACUCAGCAGGACUGCACCAGAAGUAAAAACCAGCAGCAUUUCCAGUCCAGGGCUGAAAGAAAAUGAUGGUCUCACGGACCCGGGCUCACACAGGCUCUGGUUCCCUGGUCCUGCGUGGUGGCCUGGCCCGGACCUCCCGCCGCACGUGCCCAGCCACCAAGGCGCUGGUGCCGCAGCUCCUGAAACACUGCACCCAGGACCUGCACGCGGCCCGGUGCGAGGCCAGUACGGACACAACAGGUGUGGAGCCUGACCCGCUCCUCACAUCCAGGCGAAGAAUGAAGCGCUGUGGUCUUGAACUCUGUUCUCACUGCUCUCUGACAGCUUCUCUUUCUUCAGCCCUGCCGGUGAGCCGCAGGCGGAGAGCACCAGCUGCCCAGUGCCAGGGCCUGCACCCUUGCAGUGUCAAGGACCGGCCCUCCGCUCCCUCAUCACCCACACAG